CGGCACGCCUAACACAUGCAAGUCGAACGAAGUAGCAAUACUUAGUGGCAGACGGGUGAGUAACAUGUAGGUAUCUGCCCUUUGGCCUGGAAUAACACGAGGAAACUUGUGCUAAUACCGGAUAAGUCUUUACAGAGAAAGCUUUAUGCACCAUUGGAUGAGCCUGCACUUGAUUAGUUUGUUGGUAGGGUAACGGCCUACCAAGACUUUGAUCAAUAGCUGAUUUGAGAGGAUGAUCAGCCACAUUGGGACUGAGACACGGCCCAAACUCCUACGGGAGGCAGCAGUGGGGAAUCUUGCACAAUGGAGGAAACUCUGAUGCAGCGAUGCCGCGUGAGUGAAGAAGGCCCUUGGGUUGUAAAGCUCUUUCGUCGGGGAAGAAAAUGACUGUACCCGAAUAAGAAGGUCCGGCUAACUUCGUGCCAGCAGCCGCGGUAAUACGAAGGGACCUAGCGUAGUUCGGAAUUACUGGGCUUAAAGAGUUCGUAGGUGGUUGAAAAAGUUGGUGGUGAAAUCCCAGAGCUUAACUCUGGAACUGCCAUCAAAACUUUUCAGCUAGAGUAUGAUAGAGGAAAGCAGAAUUUCUAGUGUAGAGGUGAAAUUCGUAGAUAUUAGAAAGAAUACCAAUUGCGAAGGCAGCUUUCUGGAUCAUUACUGACACUGAGGAACGAAAGCAUGGGUAGCGAAGAGGAUUAGAUACCCUCGUAGUCCAUGCCGUAAACGAUGUGUGUUAGACGUUGGAAAUUUAUUUUCAGUGUCGCAGCGAAAGCGAUAAACACACCGCCUGGGGAG
rnacentral:rRNA from 1 species